AGUUUGUCUCCAUCCGGUGGACAAACCGGACACGACAAACAGAAACACCUGCGGGACAAACCCCAAUCACGUGACACAGAGAGGAAGACGCGAUGAACCCGUCUCACCUGACUCCUCCGCCGCCGCUUCAGACCACCGCCGAGCUGACUCUGUCCCCUUUGACACUGGGGCUCGACUCCGUGUGAACUCCCCACACCCUCCUCCUGUCCGCGCCUUCUCCCGGCCAGUCAGCAUCAGCGGGAGCGGGUUCUAAAGCCGUCCCACAUCGAGUCCGCUUCGAGGCUGGUGUACUAACUACACUGCUGGUUUGUGUCCAAGAUGGAGGGAAGUCCACAAACCCACUAAUGCGACCUACAGCGGUGAGCAUUAAAGUCCACGAUGGGAAAAACCUGACAAACCAGACACUGCAGGAGUUAAUGAAGUCCAGGAGGUGGCAGUAAUAAAACACUGAGGAUGUCAUCUGCUGACAACUUUUCACAGUUUGGAGAUUCAGGUUAGAAACUUGUCAUUCGUUGCGUUGACUGGUCACCUCUCUAAGUCUGGACCGAAUCUGAAGGGAAACUCAGCUGCAUCACGGUGGCGUCAUUUUGACUAAAUAAAUGUGACUGAAUGAUGACUGGGAUGGAUUUCAUAUCCUAUAUAUAACUUAUACAUAUAUCUAUAAAUUUGUAUUUUCGUUCAAUCGGCAGUUGUUUGUUUUUUUUUAAGUUAAAGUAUGAAGCUGGUGAUAUUCUCUGAUCCCACCUAUGUCACAGUAAGUAUCACUGGAGCAUCACAUCAGUGACUCUGCAGAAACACGCAUAAAAGCAGAUCGAUGUCCAUAAACCUACUCUGUUUUACUUUCUGCCAUCAAACAUAUUUAAAUUUCUUUAUAAAUCAGUUUUAUUGUUGAACUGCAGUUCUAUGAUCCUGAAAUAAAUAAAUGUCAGAUGGACAAUA